GACAUACUCCUUCAGUCCGAAGAAGUUUGUCCCUCAAAUGGAUGUAUCUAGCAUUAAGUUAGUGCUAGAUACAUACAUUCGAGGGAUUAGCUUGAGACAAGUUUUUUCGGACGGAGGGAGUAGUUA
rnacentral:pre_miRNA from 1 species